rnacentral:rRNA from 1 species
CCAGACUCCUACGGGAGGCAGCAGUGAGGAAUAUUGGUCAAUGGGCGGAAGCCUGAACCAGCCAAGUCGCGUGAGGGAAGACGGCCCUACGGGUUGUAAACCUCUUUUGUCGGGGAGCAAAGCGAGUCACGUGUGACUCAUUGAGAGUACCCGAAGAAAAAGCAUCGGCUAACUCCGUGCCAGCAGCCGCGGUAAUACGGAGGAUGCGAGCGUUAUCCGGAUUUAUUGGGUUUAAAGGGUGCGUAGGCGGACAGUCAAGUCAGCGGUAAAAAUGCGGUGCUCAACGCCGUACAGCCGUUGAAACUGGCAGUCUUGAGUGGGCGAGAAGUAUGCGGAAUGCGUGGUGUAGCGGUGAAAUGCAUAGAUAUCACGCAGAACUCCGAUUGCGAAGGCAGCAUACCGGCGCCCUACUGACGCUGAGGCACGAAAGCGUGGGUAUCGAACAGGAUUAGAUCCCCUUGUA